GAAAGAGCCUGCCCGGAACCUUCGUUCCAUUCGUUCCUUUGCCAAUUGGGGGUUCAGGUCAAUCCGGAGGAGCCUUGGUCCCACCUUAAGUCCAGCAAUGAAUUCCGGUGGUAGAACAUGCCCCCUAGAGGGGGAAAGGCCCGUAGGGGUGAAGUUCCGGCAAGUCAAGGUUUCUCAGGGUAGACCCUGGAGUCCGGUUUGUUUUGAAUGCAGCCCAAAGUGGGUGGUGGACUCCCUCCCAGGGCUAAAAACUUGCCAGGAUUCCGAUAGGGAACAAGUACCCGGAAGGGAAAGUUGAAAAGUCUUUGAAAAGGGGGUAAACCGCAGGUAAACCCGUUUAGAGUAAACGUGUGGAGGUGGAAUGCAGCCCCGAGAAUGCAAGCGGAGAAUCUGCUUAGACUUGGUUAAAUCGGUUGAGCUCAGUAGUCUGCGUACUUGCAGGCCUUCGCCUUCUUGGCGAAGUUUCACGAGGCACUUAUCAAGUAUUACGCGCCUCCGGUGCUUUUCGAACUGAUUUGCCGUUGCAUCUUCUCGGCGUGAUCACCACGACUGGCAUUGGAGCCUGGCUGACAUAGUCAAACCUGUCUUGAUUAGUCCAUGUGACUUCGAUUGACCGCGAUUACAGGUAGCUAGUUAGCUGGCUUGUGGUUCGCUGCAGGGUUCGGCUUUAGAGCGUAAUAAGCUGAUUAGAUCGGUUAUGUGCAGUGUGUAGAAAAAGUCGAAUAGUACUGUAAACAUGUGAACCUGAAGCACUUGCGUAUAUAGUUUCGCAUGGUUUUGAGUAGUCACUCAGGCCGAUCGGCUUCCCAGAGGCGUCUGUAAACGCUUUCGUGUCGGACACUAGAUUCAAGGCGGAUUGUCACAGCCCUAGUGGUGUAUUAUCCACGGGGGCGGUCUUGGGCCACGCCACACGGAGGGUCGCACUUCGGCGCGUCAGGGGGCAUAACGAAACCAAAUGACGCGUCGAAAGUAAAGGCCCACUUCGUCAAGUAUGAGGUGAGAUCGUGGGGUUUGCUCACACGUGGCACCAGCGAAAUAAAAGCGACGGGGGGAUCGCCGGGCGGGGCGCACCAUCGACCGAUCGGGAAGUUUUCGGACGGAUUGGAGUAAGAGCGUAGAUGUUGGGACCCGAAAGAUGGUGAACUAUGCCUGAAUAGGGUGAAGCCCGGAGGAAACUCUGGGUGGAGGAUUGCGGCGGUUUAGACGUCGAAAUAAAUCGUGGAAGAAGGUCACUGUGCCGGAGAAUAUUCCCUCUAGAUAACCGGAU
rnacentral:rRNA from 1 species